UACCCUGUGGCUUUUAUUCCUACUAUUAAG
rnacentral:piRNA from 1 species